ACACACACACACACACACACACACACUGUAUAUACUCACUUCAGAAUUGAUUUCUUGAUUUAAUUUUCCGUAUGCUUGUUUAAAAAUGUAGGAAGCAACGGCCCUCAAAAGUUCUGCAUCGAGAAAGUGGGUAAAGAGAACUGGCUUCCACGGAGCCACACAUGCUUUAAUCGUCUGGACCUCCCUCCCUACAAGAGCUACGAGCAGCUGAAGGAGAAGCUCAUGUUCGCCAUCGAGGAGACAGAAGGCUUUGGGCAGGAGUAAUGAGCAGGAGCUAAAGGAUGGGAUGGAGGAGUGUUGGCUUGGAGGAGCCAUAUCCUUUUCAGACAUGAGCACUUUUUAACAUGACCUCCCUGCAGCCAGGAGCUGCUUAUAAACUGGUGAUGGACGUACAAAUCUUUAUUUUCUAUCCCUGUAUCCGUCACAACUAUUUCGUCACACAUUCAUUUACCCUACAAAAGACCUGUGAAUCCUUCUCACAACGUUUCACUUCUCACCUACAUGAUGGAUGGCGAAAGAGGCGCCUUCCUCACCCUGUCAUGUCUGCACUCGCCGAACGUUGCGCAAGUGCAGUUUCUGCUCGUUCACCUGUGAAUCUGUGCAGUGGUAACUUCUUAACAGGUCUAUACACUAGAAUUAAUCAUUUGGGAGAAAAAUAACCAUAUUUAUGCAUUUUUACUUAAAAUAAGUACAUAUCUAAAAGUAACAUCAAAGGCACAUGUAUGGUUUGGGUUUUUUUCAGGCUCAGCUUUUGUUUGUUUUUUUUGGUUUAAAGGAUGAAUGAUUUCAACAACUGACUGACUCCUGCAGCUCAUAUGCAUUUUCUUUGACAAAUCGAGCUAAUUGUAAUGAUACUUUCUCUUAUUUCGACAGGUUGCUUUCUUAACUUUAUAAUGAGUUGAACUAGUUUGCACAUAGCUAUGUGAGCAGGAAGACCGGUUGUGAUUGUUCUUAAGAGAGGUUGUAUUUGUAUGUGCAAUAGUUUUGUAGGAAACAAUUAUGCCAAUAAUAGAGCCAAGCAAUGAUUUGUUUGAUCAUUUUAUAACACUUUGGUAAGUUUCAACAUGUACUCCUUAUUUGAAUUGUCAAUAUAAAAUAGAGAACAUUUGCAUUAUUGCAAGUGUUCGUAGUGAAACCUGUUUGGUUGUGAUAUGAUUAGAAAACUUCCCAAAAUAAUCUGUGCUGUAAAUAGUAUCAGCUUAUUUACCAGUCAGGACGACUGAAAGAGUCUUGGUUUUGAAUUAUAAUCUGUUACUAAUGAAGUGGGAGUUCUAGCGUGUGUUGUGAAAAAGAGAACAAUGAUUUGUUGAAUAAUUACCUAUUAUUCCCACUGAAAGGUAGCCAAUUCUCUGGUAGAUGUCCAGACUUAAGUAUUAUUAGAGUUAAAUGAUGUUAAAUACUGAAUCCUAACUGUUUAAUGUGUUCAGUGACUAAUGCAGUUUUUGUAAAUAUACUUAUAAAGUAGAAAUAUGUUUAAUAUCUUAAUACAUUUAGUUCACCCAAGCAGUGGACCCCUUACAGUUGCAGGCAUAAGUGGACCAUUAGGAUUAAUGUAAUAUAAGUGACCCUAGUUUUAUAGGGUGAUAGGUAUUCAGAUUUGUACAGAAGUAUAUUAGAAUAAUUCAUGUCUUUUCCAAAAAUAGCUGUUUUCUUCAAGCUUAAAGUUUAUUUUUUAUUUAAGGUAGAGUAUUACUUUAAGUAAAUGACUGGAACCAAUCUACCAAAGGAUGUUAUUUAAUGGUUUUUUGUAAAACAUUUGACUUCAUUUGAGGUAUAGGUCUUAAAGUGCAGUUUUUAACAUCCCCUAAAUUGUUAUAUAUCACAUUGGUUGGCGCUAUUAGGUUGUUAGUUAGCCUUUAUUAUAUUAAUGGGUAACACUGUGAGGUACAAAAAAAGGUAGCAAUUUAGCUACUUCAAUCUUAAAUACAAAAUCUGAACACAAUUUGAAUCUGUAAAUUGAUAUUUUGUAACUGUCCCGGCAUCAAGCUGUGUAGUGUGUGUGUAAGCAGCGUGGUGUAAAUGACGUGGUAUAAUUUCAAUGUGUACACCAGAUAAUUUAACAAUCCUAAUUAAAAGUUGUGUUUCAGCUAAUUUACUUUAAGUUAGCUGUAACGAAUGAAAUGAAAUAUCCACACAUUUUGUAUGAACAAUGUGGCCGAUUGCCAUUUCACAAAAUGCUGGUUGUUAUAAGUGCUCCCUCACUGACCUGACGGGUGUAUUGACCCUCAUUCAAAACCAGUUACUGCUGACUUGGUUUCUAUUAGUCUCUUAUGUUUCACAUUAUCUCACAUUUUUAUCCUGCAUUAAUACCAUAGACUGUAUGAUUAAUACACACACAUAGACCUAUAAAGCUACUACUGGUGUGCUGAUUUGAAAUGAGAUUACUGCAGAAAAACCUUCAAAAUGUUUACUAUUGAAUAUUUUAACAGAUAACAACGAAUAACUUAGCACCUUGACACUUCCAACUGGUUGAAUUAACCACUUCACUGUUUAAUCACUGCUUUGUUCCAGAUCAUGGAGCCAUUUUAAUGUAGGCUAUAGAAAUAUGCAAAAUAGUGUUUGUAGUUGUACUGAUUGCAUUGUAAAUCAUGUUGAUAGUGUAAUCACUGUUUUUGAGCUCCAACUCUUUUUGAUAAGUAGAAGUCAAUGGUUGAAUACUAUUUAUUUGGAAGAUGGGUUUCAUGUAACAAUGGGCUGGAUUGAUUGAGAAAAAAAACAACCGUAAUAAAAUGAUUUAAACACUGGGCUUCUGCA